AAACCCGGUGAUCUAGCCAUGGGCAGGUUGAAGGUUGGGUAACACUAACUGGAGGACCGAACCGACUAAUGUUGAAAAAUUAGCGGAUGACUUGUGGCUGGGGGUGAAAGGCCAAUCAAACCGGGAGAUAGCUGGUUCUCCCCGAAAGCUAUUUAGGUAGCGCCUCGUGAACUCAUCUUCGGGGGUAGAGCACUGUUUCGGCUAGGGGGCCAUCCCGGCUUACCAAACCGAUGCAAACUCCGAAUACCGAAGAAUGUUAUCACGGGAGACACACGGCGGGUGCUAACGUCCGUCGUGAAGAGGGAAACAACCCAGACCGCCAGCUAAGGUCCCAAAGUCAUGGUUAAGUGGGAAACGAUGUGGGAAGGCACAGACAGCCAGGAUGUUGGCUUAGAAGCAGCCAUCAUUUAAAGAAAGCGUAAUAGCUCACUGGUCGAGUCGGCCUGCGCGGAAGAUGUAACGGGGCUAAACCAUGCACCGAAGCUGCGGCAGCGACGCUUAGGCGUUGUUGGGUAGGGGAGCGUUCUGUAAGCCGUUGAAGGUGGCCUGUGAGGGUUGCUGGAGGUAUCAGAAGUGCGAAUGCUGACAUAAGUAACGAUAAAGCGGGUGAAAAGCCCGCUCGCCGGAAGACCAAGGGUUCCUGUCCAACGUUAAUCGGGGCAGGGUGAGUCGACCCCUAAGGCGAGGCUGAAAAGCGUAGUCGAUGGGAAACAGGUUAAUAUUCCUGUACUUGGUGUUACUGCGAAGGGGGGACGGAGAAGGCUAGGCUAGCCGGGCGACGGUUGUCCCGGUUUAAGCGUGUAGGGGGUGUGACCUGGUAAAUCCGGUUGCAUAUUAACCCUGAGGCGUGAUGACGAUGCACUACGGUGCAGAAGUAGUUGAUGCCCUGCUUCCAGGAAAAUCCUCUAAGCUCCAGGUAACAUUAAAUCGUACCCCAAACCGACACAGGUGGUCAGGUAGAGAAUACCAAGGCGCUUGAGAGAACUCGGGUGAAGGAACUAGGCAAAAUGGUGCCGUAACUUCGGGAGAAGGCACGCUGGCAUGUAGGUGAAGUCCCUCGCGGAUGGAGCCGAAGCCAGUCGAAGAUACCAGCUGGCUGCAACUGUUUAAUAAAAACACAGCACUGUGCAAACACGAAAGUGGACGUAUACGGUGUGACGCCUGCCCGGUGCUGGAAGGUUAAUUGAUGGGGUCAGCCGCAAGGCGAAGCUCUUGAUCGAAGCCCCAGUAAACGGCGGCCGUAACUAUAACGGUCCUAAGGUAGCGAAAUUCCUUGUCGGGUAAGUUCCGACCUGCACGAAUGGCGUAAUGAUGGCCAGGCUGUCUCCACCCGAGACUCAGUGAAAUUGAACUCGCUGUGAAGAUGCAGUGUACCCGCGGCAAGACGGAAAGACCCCGUGAACCUUUACUAUAGCUUGACACUGAACAUUGAGCCUUGAUGUGUAGGAUAGGUGGGAGGCUUUGAAGCGUGGACGCCAGUCUGCGUGGAGCCAUCCUUGAAAUACCACCCUU
rnacentral:rRNA from 1 species